CCGGGGGCUCAGUGGGUCAUGGGCUUUGAGGCCACAUGAGUUUUGCAGAGCAGACGUAGAAAGCAGAGAAUGAAAAAAAGAAAAAGAGGAGAGAUCUGAAGCCAGAAUGGGCGUCAUGCAAGAGGCUCUAGAGUUGCAGACAGUUGCAGCCCAGAUACGACGUGCAAAGAGAGACAUCCCAGAUCUCCCACACAGAACUCCGGCGCGCUUUGAAGUGUUGACAACACAUAAAAUUAAAAGCAUCACAAUGCGAAUUAUCACGUUGUUUUUUCCACUUUGAUAGCCUCUACAAAGCAUUUUAUACCGAUGAAUCAAUACAAAUGUCUCUUUAUAAAGACAUUGGAAACAAAAAGAUACAUUUUUUUUUUUCCUUAAGAGAAACCGACACAACUAACAAAAAGAUUUCAGCCCUGGCUUGCAGGAUAGCUCUAGGUAACAUAGUGAGUUUGUCUCUCCUUUUCACAGUGGCCUUGGAGGUCACUGCUGUCUACUUGCUUGGGUCAAUCAUUCAGCCUCCGGAUGAAUGUUCUGCCUGCUGAUUAGUCAGCACCAUGAGAUGAGACAAACAAGCCACAAUUGCAUUGCUAUUGCCUCCUGACUGCACACACAUGUGUGUGCACAUGUAUAAGAAUAUAUACAGUGUGUGUAAAUAUAUAGAGGCGUGUGUGUGUGUGUGUGUGUAUUUUGUGGUUUGGUAAAAUAAAGCUUGCAAAUUAGGAUUAAUUUAUAACUCGUUAUAAUUGGAUUAUUGGCUGGGACUCCCUUUAUGUUACAGCAGAUGGACUUUUGCGUGAAAUAUUUUCCCUGAGUUGCUAUAGAGAUGUGCCAAGAUCUCUCUGCUGAAGUGAUUCCCCGCAGGCCUGUUUGUUGUUGUGCCCGGUGCCGAAUCACUUGCAGGCUGAAUCACUUACAGCCCUCACAGAGGCUGAUGAAAGAG
rnacentral:lncRNA from 1 species